rnacentral:lncRNA from 1 species
UCCUAGAGACACCGCAACCGCACCCACCCGCCGCCUGCGCGUGACCAAGAUCUCACCCUUAUCGGGUUCCUUCGCCGCCGUCGCCGUCGCCACGGCCUCCAUCCUGAUUCUCUCGGACUUUUCAACCGCCCGGCGGGCCCCGCACACUAACCUCCGGCCCACGCACGCAAGAGACACUUUCGCCUGAGAAUGUUCCGGGUCCGGGUGCACCGCUGCGCCCAGGCACCGAAGUUCCGGGCCUAAGGCAGACGUUGCAUUGCGCAUGCGUGCCUCUCUCGGGCUCCGCCCUCCGCAGCCAGGAAGGAAAGGGGCUCCCCGGAGAGUGAGAGACCCUUAAACCUCUCCUGUCAGUCAGUAGGAACCAGAAUCAUUGUUCGUUUUAUCACUGCUGUGACUCCAGCUCCCAGCGUGCUUAAUUUUGGGAUGGAUGGCUAAAGGACUUUCCCCCGGAGCCUGGAGCCGUCAUACGCUGAGGGGUCUCGCUUUGUCGCCUAGACGAAUGCAGUGGCGCGAUCACAGUUCAAGUAACCUCACAUUCCUGUGCUCAAGUGAUCCUCCUGCCUCAGCCUUUGGAGUACUUGGGACUACAGGCGCGCACAACCGCGCCCGGCUAAUUUUUAAAAUUUUUUUGUAGAGCCAGGGGUCCCACUUUGUUGCCCAGGCUAGUCCCCAACUCCUGGCCUCAAGCAAUCCUCCCGCUUCAGCCUCUCAAAAUGCUGGGAUUACGCGCGUGAGCCACCAGCCUGGCUUACUUCCGUCAUCAUACCCUGUCUCUGGCUGGCAUGAGAUGGAUAGUGAGAUAGAACUUCCCAUUUUGUGUUCCCAGGACCUGGAGGAAAUCUACAGGUGUGAAACAAGACAACUCUGGUCCUUAUUUCCCUAUGGGAUGGGUGGGGCUCUAUUUAGGUGUUACCAGCAGAGUAGACAGACAUGUCACUCAGUGGCCAGGGCUUUGAUGGAUCCAGAGGGCUGAGGGAGCUGUCCACCCCAGGCUGGAGGGUCAAGGAAGCCUUCUUUCUGGGAGGGUACCCUCAAGCUAAGACCUGAAGAACGAGUAGGAGCUGGGUUAAGAGGAAGGUAGGGAAGAGUCUUGAGGAGGAUGGCACGUACGGACGGUUCUGGUUGCUGCAAGCACUUCACUACGGUCAGGGCAUAGGAAAGGAGCUCUAACUUGAAAGCCAUGAUUGGGCUGUGGAGGUUUUGAGAACCUCAUGAAUUUUUAUGCAAAAUUCCAUGUACCUCUGUAUUCUCCAAUGCAGUGGUUCAUGGCAUCAUUUGUGGGUUCCAAAAAGGACUUAUGGCUCCUCAGAACAAAAUAAACACUGAUUUGAUAUUCAAAGGGGGAGCAGAAAGAGAGGGCGCCAGCGAUGUUACCAGGUGCUAGGCCAUGCAGGGCCUCAUAAGCCAUAGUAAGUGGCUUGACCUCCUUUAUUCUGAAGGGAGUGGGCAUCAAGGGACUGGAGAUGAGACGUGUGAGAAAAACUGGCUGAGAACAGAGGAAGAGCUUCCCCAUUUGCAUUCCCUUGAGGUCUGGAGUUGUGGAAGAAAGCCAAGGAGGUCCCUAUUUACCAACCCAGAUUCCUAGGCAUUACCAGGAGAGGCCAGCAGAGGGCGCUGUAGCCCAGCAUAUGGACAUGAAGGGAAGGGGACUUUCCAGACUAAAGGCCCUGCCACCUCCUCUCUGGCGCAUUCUAGGGUCCCUUUUAGCCACCAACCUUGGUUCCUUCUCACGUUCUGAUGCCCUACCCGAGAUUCUGAGACUAGUCAGUUUCCCUCCCUUGUUUUUGUUGCCCAUCUCCCCUUCACAAGGCUCUGAGCUCCCACCAGGGAAGAUUGGGGCUGAAUUGGCUUCUCCUGUGGCCCAGCAUUGUCUCUCACAAGGAGCCAGGAACACAGCAUGUAUGAGGGAACGAAGACAUAAGGUUGCUAAGGAAGGGGAAGAUGGGCCAUGGGGAUGCAAUCUGGAGUCUUUUACCCUGGCUCACUCCUCCAGGAAGCCCUCCCUGCACACCACCCCAGGCUCUCACAGCUGACCACUUGGUGCUGGCAGGUCUUUGUUCUCUCUGGAGUGGGAGCUCUGUGAGAACGGGGUCCAGGACUGCCGUGGCCAUACUAUGUCCCCAGCACUGUCCAGGACAGCUGAAGAACACAGCAGGUGGCUCACACACACUGGCUGAAACAUGAAGCUCCUGGAAUCCCCAUGAGCCCCAAACACAGAACAGGCAGGAACUGUCCUCCGUGCUGCACACAGGCCAGGCCUGAGGCAGGUGGUCUGUGGAUGCCCAGUGAUGAUGCCAAACAAACCAGCCCUGGUCUCUGCCCCAUCAGUCCCACCCAUCCCUCCACCUAGAGGCCUGUUCCAUGUCCUUUACUCAAAAACUCCUGGAGGGAUUUUAGACUGUGAGAGGUAGAGAACAAGAGAAGCACUUUAAAAAUGAACUAGUGGAUUUUAAACCAGGGACCCUUGUUUAAGCGUGCAUUUUUAGCACCAAAAUCGGGGCCAGGCACAUGAAUCCCUCAGUUAAGUUGUUUAAUGAAUGAGUAAAUAAUUUCCCUUUAAAGAGGCCCCCACCCCAAUUAACGGCCAACUGCAGUAACACUUCAGGGUUUCAACCCUGCUUCCUUCCUGCUAGGAGGUGCCAUGUCAUUUAUUCAAAGAAAACAAAACGAAACCAAACAAAACAGGGCAAACACAUUUCUUAAUAAGUGCAGUUUGUUAAAAUCAUGUUAAAACAUAUGAGUCAAGGGGAAGUAAAAAUAAAGGGUAUCACUGUAGGAAAAGCUUUUGGGUCUGGCACCUGGGAGACCACUGGAGAGGAGGCAGUGGGAGAAACUUCAAGUUCUGAAGGGAAGGAGCCCCCCAACCUCCCCUUCUUCCCUCUCACCCACUGAAUCCCACCAGAAACUACCAAGACGCCCGGAAUAAAAGGUUUCAAGUUCAAUAGUCACUCUCUCCAAAUACAAAAAGCAGUUACAAUUCAACUGAACACAGAAGCUUGUGUGCAAAGUUAUGGGGAACUGGGGCAUCGUAUAAAAAGUUGGGUUAAAGAUGAUUCUGUGGUUUGGUUUUGUUGUGUUUUGUUUUGUGGCUCUUCCUCAGUCACCUGAACUCAGGAAAGAAAUGCUUAUCUUGAUGAAAUAUCAACAGCCCACCCACAGUAAAAAGACAAAUUCUAAAAAUUAAAAAAAAGCGCAUAAUUACCAAAAAAAAGUCACUGCUUCCUC